UAUAAUGUAUAAAUCAAAAUAGACAUACUAACAAAACAUUCUGAAAUAUGGCGAACUAUGUCAAUAGUUGACUCAUGGGUUUCCAAACACUCAUGAUUACAUGGAUAUAAACAUUGACAAAUACUAUAUAUAAUUACUGGCUAUUAUUUUAUUCCCUCCUUAUCCGAAAGAAGUAAACUAAGUUCUUUUAAUUCUUUAUU